UGGAUCCUCCCAUUACAUUUGGAUCUAUCUAAAUCUAUACCAUUUUUCUUUCCGUAGGAUCCUCCCAUUACAACGCCACGUACUUUCGUGUUUUCUUUAAACUGGAAGCUGAUGGUGAUGGUGAAAGAGAUGGAAGGAGUCACAUAUUGUAGUACUGAAUUGGCUGGAGUAAAUUGUGGUAAUUGUAACGAUGCAUGCAAACAAAAGUAUAAGGAUGGAACCGGCCAAUGCACUUCAAAGAUGCAAACCUUACGAUUCAGAAGAAGAAGAAAACCGAAACCUGCUCCUGCAGUCAUCCUUGUAUUUUUUAAAUUUUAUUCGAAGUGUAUUAAUGAUUAAUGG